UUUAGCUCAUACAUUCCUAACUUCAAAAAAUUAAUUAAUUAAGGAGGAUAAAGUAUUAAUUAAUCACAAGAUUAAUUAUUUAAAGGCUUCAACAUUUUAAGUGAUAUCAAACCCAAAAUUUUGAGAUAAAGCCCAUUUCCUCACUUAGACUCAAAGCCCAAUUUUUUUUUUUUUUUUCCUUUCCUCAAACUAUUGGCCCAUACUAGAAUAAUUAGGAGACUAUUCCACAAAAUUAAUUGGCCCAAAAGAGAGGCCCAAAUACUUAAAAUCAAAGAAACCCUAAUAAAACUCAAGAUCAGAUUUUGAAUCAGAGGGGCGCCUCUUCCUCUCCCCUUCGCCUCACGUUUCUCACCCUCUCUCUUUCUACCGUCGCGCCGGUCAUGGCGUCGCCGGCGAGCGACGCCGGCCGUUGCCUCGUCUCUCUCUCUCUCCCGGCAUCUCUCUAUCUUUCUCGGCCGACGGAGCUCGGCUGCCUCCCGGAGAAGAAACUCCGUCGCCGGCGUCCACUUUCAGUUCGAUUUCAGGCACCAAUUCGUCGAGUGAGGGGGGGAAGGGUGCAGCGUGAUUCUUUCGGGGCAGCGGUGUGCGUCGUGGAUGGCUGCCGGAGAUAGCAGCGGCGGCGGCUGCCGCCCAGUGACAGCAGCAGCAGCAGCUGUGGCUGCUCCGGGUGACAGCAGCGGCGCCUUCCGGUAGCUCGGUGUCCAUCGGUGCACUCUUAAAGGCUAAGUUCUUUAUCUCUCUGUUAUCUAAUUUCCAUCUUGAGCUCCUUCUCAUUGGGGCAGUGGCUAUGGUUGGUUAUUACUUAGAGUUGAGAUAGAUGAUGAAAGCUUGGUGUUGUUGGCACUUGCUCUAGAGAUUCUAGCAUAAGGAUGAUUUAGAAGCUAAUACACUGUGUUGCUAGAUUCUUGCUAUGAAAAUGGUAUUGACUAAGAGUCCAAUGAUCAAGGUCUAAGUUGAGCAUGAAAGUUGUGAGAAAAGUUUGGUCUAACAAUGGUGAUAAAGAUGAGAGUAAUUGGAUAAGUUUUACUACAUGAUGUAAUGAAAUGCAAAAGUAUGCAAAAGUGAAGUAAAGGCUUAAGAAAUCAAAUGUUUAAGGAUAAUUACCUUAAGGAAAAAGAAGAAUGUAGUGUGUAGAGAAUAAAUCCUUCUUCUUCAAGCACUUGCUAGCAUCAUUAGUUGAAAUGAGAUUUUGUUUAGAGAAAUCUAGUGUUGAAGCAAAAGUGGAGGUGAAGGAGUGGUGUAGUAUUUAUAGAGGAAAAGAAUGCAUGGCUUUACAUGGUUAAUAGCUUGGUUUAGGAAGGCAAUGCAUCGUCCAAGAGUCAUGGACUUUUUGCCAAAUGAGGCAAGUUGUCCAAUCAAUCAUUCAUAAUACCAUAAAUGGCAAGAAUAUUAUGUCUCGUCCCUUAAAAGACGUGAGCCGUCAUUUGGAAAACGUGAGCCGUCGUUUGAUAUGCGUGUUUGAUGUGAUUUGAUUUCGUCGAUCGUCUCGUCUUGAUUUAACACGCUUCUUAUCCAUUCGUGUAGGUAUCGGGAUUCAAGGCGUGACUAUUGAGCAAGAUCCGAAGGGCAUGGAGAGUAUUUUAUUUUUUAGUAAAUCUUUACUUAAACGUUGAACUCGUGUACGGACUUUUUAUUUGAAACUCGGUCUUCACAAACGGACUUUUAUUAGAGCAAACUUUAUAUUGAAAUAUUACUAUUUUUGUU